rnacentral:rRNA from 1 species
CAGAGGUCUCAAGCGUUGUUCGGAUUCAUUGGGCGUAAAGGGUGCGUAGGCGGCGCGGUAAGUCGGGUGUGAAAUCUCGGAGCUUAACUCCGAAACUGCAUUCGAUACUGCCGUGCUUGAGGACUGGAGAGGAGACUGGAAUUUACGGUGUAGCGGUGAAAUGCGUAGAUAUCGUAAGGAAGACCAGUGGCGAAGGCGGGUCUCUGGACAGUUCCUGACGCUGAGGCACGAAGGUCAGGGGAGCAAACGGGAUUAGAUACCCCCGGUAGUCCUGACAGUAAACGGUGCACGUUUGGUGUGGGAGGAUUCGACCCCUUCUGCGCCGGAGCUAACGCGUUAAACGUGCCGCCUGGGGAGUACGGUCGCAAGAUUA